GCGGGGCUGGGGGACUGAGCACGAGGAGGGCGGGGCCGACGCCUCCUUCGGGGCCCUGCUGGGGCUGAGCCUCCCCUCGGCCGCCGGGGUGCUGUGGGGGUGCAGCCGCUGCUCGCAGCUCGGGGAUGUCGCUCGCUCCGUCCCGGCCGGGAGCCUCGGGGCCGCCACGGCCACGGCGCUGGGAUACCUGAGCGCGGCGCUGCUGCUGGGGGCCAGCGUGGAGGGGCAGCUGCUGCGGGACAAGUUCGGUGCCACCCUGGGCGGUGUCCCGGUGCUGGCCGCUGUCGCCUGGCCCUGGCCGUGGCUGCCCGUGCUGGGGGCGGGGCUCUCGGCGGGG